rnacentral:piRNA from 1 species
CUGUAAGCUCUAAGACAGGCAUCUC